rnacentral:rRNA from 1 species
CGACCGGCGCACGGGUGAGUAACACGUAUGCAACCUGGCCGUGACAGAUGGAUAACCGGGAGAAAUCCCGCCUAAUACAGCAUGACGCCGCGGGAGGACAUCCUCCCGCGGCCAAAGGGGCGACCCGGUCACGGAUGGGCAUGCGGCGCAUUAGGUAGUUGGUGGGGCAACGGCCCACCAAGCCGACGAUGCGUAGGGGUUCUGAGAGGAAGGUCCCCCACAUUGGUACUGAGACACGGACCAGACUCCUACGGAAGGCAGCAG